GUGGGGAAUUUUGGACAAUGGGCGCAAGCCUGAUCCAGCAAUGCCGCGUGCAGGAAGAAGGCCUUCGGGUUGUAAACUGCUUUUGUACGGAACGAAAAGGUCUGGGUUAAUACCCUGGGCUCAUGACGGUACCGUAAGAAUAAGCACCGGCUAACUACGUGCCAGCAGCCGCGGUAAUACGUAGGGUGCGAGCGUUAAUCGGAAUUACUGGGCGUAAAGCGUGCGCAGGCGGUUUUGUAAGACAGGCGUGAAAUCCCCGGGCUCAACCUGGGAAUGGCGCUUGUGACUGCAAAGCUGGAGUGCGGCAGAGGGGGAUGGAAUUCCGCGUGUAGCAGUGAAAUGCGUAGAUAUGCGGAGGAACACCGAUGGCGAAGGCAGUCCCCUGGGCCUGUACUGACGCUCAUGCACGAAAGCGUGGGGAGCAAACAGGAUUAGAUACCCGAGUAGUCC
rnacentral:rRNA from 1 species